rnacentral:rRNA from 1 species
UACGAGGGGGGGCAAGCGUUGUUCGAUGAAUUGGUGCGUAAAGGGCGCGUAGGCGGUCUGAUAAGUCUUGUGUGAAAUCUCUGGGCUCAACCCAGAGUCUGCAUAGGAAACUGUUCGGGCUUGAGUAUGGGAGAGGUGCGUGGAAUUUCCGGUGUAGCGGUGAAAUGACGUAGAUAUCGGAAGGAACACCUGUGGCGAAAGCGGCGCACUGGACCAAAACUGACGCUGAGGCGCGAAAGCUAGGGGAGCAAACAGG